UACGUAGGUGGCAAGCGUUGUCCGGAUUUACUGGGCGUAAAGAGCGCGCAGGCGGUCGUUCAAGUCGCGUGUGAAAGCCCCCGGCUCAACUGGGGAGGGUCACGCGAUACUGAUCGACUCGAAGGCAGGAGAGGGUAGUGGAAUUCCCGGUGUAGCGGUGAAAUGCGUAGAUAUUGGGAGGAACACCAGUGGCGAAGGCGGCUACCUGGACCGGUUCUGACGCUGAUGCGCGAAAGCGUGGGUAGCAAACAGG
rnacentral:rRNA from 1 species